rnacentral:sRNA from 1 species
UAUCUCUCAGGCGUCUGUCUCCAAUCGAUACGGUCAGGGAUCCACAGCGACAUUUGAUGUUUGAGAGGACGACGGUGGAUAUAUGAAGACCUCUUACGGAGGGUGUUGAGGUCUUGCUUGAUCCAUAACAACGACUACCAGCAACUUUAUCAAACUUGUUCGCCUUGUUCGCCUUACAAGCAACAACAACUAUUCAAUCCAAAUCUACUGCCACGCCAACUUAAUACCUGCCACAACCACGUGUUCACUAAUGCUCGUCUUUUUUUGUUGGCUGUUGGCCUAUUUAAUACAUCUCAAAUUCAUAUAAUUGUAUGAAGUGGUAUUUAUCUGG